rnacentral:rRNA from 1 species
GGCAAGUCUGGUGCCAGCAGCCGCGGUAAUUCCAGCUCCAAUAGCGUAUAUUAAAGUUGUUGCAGUUAAAAGCUCGUAGUUGGACCGGCAGUCAUAUGGACAGUUGGAUCGUAAGAUCCGACGGUCUAUAUGGUGAAAUUUAGCAGGAAUCUUAUAUACAUAAGAUCCCCUGCGGAGUUACUGUGAAGAAAUUAGAGUGUUUAAAGCAGGCUUACGCUUGAAUACAUCAGCAUGGAAUAACAAGAUAUGGAAGAUGGAAGAUCUUGUUGGUUUUAAUCCAUUUUAAUGAUUAAUAGGAUCAGUUGGGGCAUUAGUAUUAAUGUCAGAGGUGAAAUUCUCGGAUUUGUUAAAGACUAACUUAUGCGAAAGCAUUUGCCAAGGAUGUUUUCAUUAAUCAA